rnacentral:lncRNA from 1 species
AUGUAUUCUUUCAUUUUCUACCAAAGUUAUUUACGUAAAUGUCUUCUCCUUUACUAGUCUCUUAGUUUGUUGAAGAAAGGAUGUAUGUCCGAUUCCUCUGCAGUUUCCUGAAAUUCUGGAUACAUAAUGUCACAUAAAUUGGAAAGAAGGCUACUGUCCAGUUUCUUCAAUGUCAGUUCCUUGUUUGCAUACAUUCUGAAGGUGCUAUGUGCUUCAAAAAUUCUUUGCCAGACUGGGAAAAUUGUGCUUUGGAAAUCAUUAAAUUUCAUCCUUUUAAAAAUACAGGUGUGAUUUUUCACUGGACGGAAA